UUGUUGAUUCCUUGGAGAUUG
rnacentral:miRNA from 1 species